rnacentral:rRNA from 1 species
UACGUAGGGUGCGAGCGUUAAUCGGAAUUACUGGGCGUAAAGCGUGCGCAGGCGGUUCGUGAUGUCUGAUGUGAAAUCCCCGGGCUCAACCUGGGAAUGGCAUUUGGGACUGCAAGGCUGGAGUGCGGCAGAGGAGACUGGAAUUCCUGGUGUAGCAGUGAAAUGCGUAGAUAUCAGGAGGAAUACCGAUGGCGAAGGCAGGUCUCUGGGCUGACACUGACGCUCAUGCACGAAAGCGUGGGGAGC